GGAAGAUGAACGUGUCCGGUGGCGCGGCUGGACUUCAAAUCCAGACAGGGGCGUAAUCCGUCCCGGGAGGGUUCGACUCCCUUCAUCUUCC
rnacentral:tRNA from 1 species